CACUCACCGUCUCUCUCACACAGACCAGACCAGUCUCACCCUCUCCCUCUCACACUUCAGCGCAUCUCUCACUCACCCUCUUCUCCCACUCCGUCAAACAUUCAUCACUUCACCAAGAACCCUCUUCUCUCACUUAGUCCAUUUGACAUUCAUCACCUAGCAGGAAAGAUUUGAUAAAGCACAGCGAGGUGUACGGAGGUUUGAUAAAGUCUCCACUCUCACUUACAGAGCUUUGAGUUCCUCAAUCUACGCGGUUUCUCAAAACUAAAAGAAAAGUAUGGUUGCUGCAAAUGUUGGACGGAUUAACUAUGCAAAGCUUGGACCCAUUGACAUGUCGGUGUUGACAUAGUAGCCCAACCAUCGGUCCGAAGCUAUUUGGAAUGGGCAGGAUCCAGAGACCCUUACCUGCCGCAGCUGUAGUUCAGAGUUCUCCAAUUGAGAGCCAAUGGUGGAUGACCGAGUUGUUAACAUCAUUAAGGCACUUGGUUUGGAGGGACUCCUCUGGGUUCCGGGUAGAGAGAUUGAUCAUGGCCUGAUAACGGUCUUAGUGGAGCGAUGGCGGCUCGAGACUCACACCUUCCGCAUGCCACAUAGUGAGGUUAGCAUCACAUUGCAGGAUGUGGAGGUUCUUCUCGGGCUUCUUGUUGAUGGUCAAGCUAUAACAGGGAGCACGCAGAAAACCUGGACAGAGGUGUGCCGGGACUUCCUUGGGUUUCAACCUAUAAAUCAAGAGGCGAAUAAGCAACUCACUGACCAAAGGAUUCUCAUCAGUCGACUUUUGGAGCAAGUUGCUGGUCCAUUGCCGCCUAAUGCUGAAGAGGAUGAGCUGCAUAAGUACGCACGAUGCUACAUCCUAACGCUACUGGGAGACACAAUACUCAGGGACAAAUCCGGCUAUAGAGUGCAUCUAAUGUGGGUACAGCAAUAGAAAGACCUUUGCAACCCAGAAAUGUACAGUUGGGGAAGUGCUUGCCUUACAUGGUUGUACCGAGAGUUAUGCAGGGCAAGCGAUAGGGGCACCAGUCAGAUCGGUGGGUGCUUACUGUUGGUCCAGUAUUGGGCAUGGACUAGGUUCCCGUAUUUGUGCCCGGCAGUUGAGUGUGGCCCGCCAGUGGGUGCUUACGGUCCUCCAGUGCAUGGUUCACUGGCCCUGAAGUGGUUGUGGGUCCCAAACAAGAAAAAUAGGGCCGCCCACAUCUUCAGGGACAGGUAUUGCGAGCAAAUAGCUUCAAUGUUGCCAGGCCAGGUGGUGUGGCAGCCAUAUGAAGCUGAGUUAGAAGACCUGCCGCCAUGGUGCGUUGCAGGGAAGGCUGUGUGGAUGGCAACGGUGCCGCUUAUAUGUUUCCACAUAAUAGAGAAACAUACAUCAGAUCGUGUCGUUCGCCAAUUUGGGAUGAUCCAAGAAAUUCCCCAUGAUGUUGACACUGAUGAGGUCCUUCAUAAAAUUGAUUUGAGGGGGAAGGUCGGUGUUAAUUGGAUGCGAAAACAUGCGGUGCAUAUACUCGAUUGAGGUAAUCGUUUUCAACGGCGUUUUGAAGUAGUGCUUGGUGAUAUGCCUCUACGGCAUGAGUACUUCGGUUGGUUCAACAGGGUAACCCGGAGGUUUAUCGAUAGGCCUGGUGCUAAAUUGACUAUGAUGGUUUCACUUGUCAACCGUUUGUUGAGGCAUCACUCAGUGGGCACGGAGGACCAUAAGGACAUUACUGAUGUGCUGACUGCAGUGCACCUCCUUGAUUGUGUACAACCUCCCAUCCCUGAGGCCCCGAAUGAGGAGGUAGCUACUCGUGCGAGCCCAAGCACUACUGAGGGCCCAAGCACGAGCACAACUCGGGCCAGAUGUCCCUCUUGUCUGCCUAUUGCUACCCUUCGGGUUGUCCCUACCCCCGAUCCCUCUCCAUCCACCCCAUAUCCAUCCCCUAGCCCUACCAUCUCUCCAUCCACCCCACAUCCAUCCCCUAGCCUUACCAUCCCUUCAUCCACCCCACAUCCAUCCCUUAGCCCUACCAUCCCUUCACCCAUCCCACAUUCAUCUCCUCGCCCCACCAUCCCUCCACCCACUCCACAUCCUUGUCCUGGGUCUGACAUUUGUCCACCCACCCCACGGUCAUUUCCCGAGGUGUCACCCAUUCCAUCCUUUGACCUGGGUAUUCAUCCAACCCCACCUGACAUGCAGCAGGAGCCACCCUCCCACAGUACGUCUAUUAGCCCUUCAUCAGCCAUCGACCCACCCCAUGUUCAAGUUGAGUAGCCUGUUGGGUUACCUACUUAACCAGAAGGUCGGCUGAAACGCAUAUCAAAGGCACCUCCUUGUAGGACAGGGGGGCAUAAACAUGGACACAACGCCAUGGGCCUGAGGCAUUUGAAGAAGGACAUGUAAGACCUCCUCCUCAUUAUAUGAGACGGCAUAAGGUCCAAAAAAGAUGAUGAUGCUAUGAAAAGGCUGGAAGCACUGAAAUUCAAGUUCAGCACAAUAAAAGCAGCAACAAAUAACUUUUCUAAUGCCAAUAAGCUUGGAGAGGGCGGAUUUGGUUGAUUUUGAAGUGGCUGGGAUAAGCUCAAUAAGGAGGUUGAUGAUUUGAGAAAGGAAACUCCAAAGUCCAAAGUCCUUUUGGAGGAAAGAUCUUGAUGCUCUGGAGGGGCAACUUGAUGAGCUUCAGAAAAGUGAUGCUCAGUCAGAGGAGUUAAGAAAGAAAAUGAGAGGCAAAGCAAGGGGUGAAGCUGCUAUGAAGUCUACUAGACAAGCACCCAGGAACCCAUGGAAGCAAACUUUAAUAAUAAGAAGGCAAAUAAUGCAGAAUCUGUUGCAGAAGCUGUCCCAUCAUCUAUGGCUGCAAUGGAAAUUGAGAAAGCUCCUGAGGCAGCAAAACCCAAAGGCAGAGUAGUCUCUAGGAAAGCUCCUGCUAAGCCGAAAAAGCAAACUUUAGUCUUGAAUGAUGAUGAAGACGACGACGACGAUGUGCUUUAGCUUAAAGAACGACUUGCUGCCUAUAACUUUAGGUUUGUUAUUCUUUUCUGACUCAGUCAAUGUCCACAGUGCAUUAUAGAUUUAAAGGAUAAUGUUUUGAGAGUUGGUGGUGGAGAAGUUUCUGUACCAUUUUUGCAAGAAAAAGACAUCCCAUCCUGCUUUCUUGAUGAAGAAAGGUUGUCCAAGCAAGCAUCCAGGUCAGGGACCCCAGUGACAUCAGGAACAACAGAUAGAAGCAAUAUUGUCCCAACAGGAGGGUCUCGUGGUGAUAUAAGCCAGGGACCUAAUUUUGAAGCCAAAGUGGCAAAGCUUGUUGAGCUAGGGUUUGGAAGGAAGCAGUCAUACAAGCUCUUAAAUUAUUCGAAGGAAAUGAAGAUCAAGCAGCAGGGUUUCUUUUUGGGGAUUGAAGUUAACAUUUAUUUGUAGACUUUAAUUUUUGUGGAAUAAUGUUUGGUUCAGUAAUUUAAUUGCAAAUUAACAAAUUGAAAUUUGUGCACUUGAUACUGAUAACAUUCCUUUAAAGCUAUUUUGAACCCUGAAAUUGGUGGUGUAACUUGCAAUUCAAAUGAGAGAAAGUAAACAAAUUUCAAAUUUGA